GCCUCCAUUUAAGGUGUGAAGAGCAGCGCGAGCGGCAGUUGCUGUGGUUUCUGUUCAGGGGUGUCUUAAUUUUCUUGGGUCCUGAAGCUCGUGGACUUAGCACCCCGCGUUCAAGUCCAACUAUCGGUGGCUGCCGAUCGGGACGUAGGAGCGCAGCGUCUCUUCUCCAGAUCAGGGCCAGCCCCCUGCUUUGCCCUCGCCACUCGGUGCCCGUAUCUACUCCGGGCCUAAGUCGGCGGCGGCGCGGCUAAAGAGAAGGCCGCCGGCGAGAUGUUCAAAAACACCUUCCAGAGCGGCUUCCUCUCCAUCCUCUACAGCAUCGGCAGCAAGCCUCUGCAGAUUUGGGACAAAAAGGUACGGAAUGGCCACAUCAAAAGGAUCACUGAUAAUGACAUCCAGUCCCUGGUACUAGAGAUUGAAGGGACAAAUGUCAGCACCACGUAUAUCACAUGUCCUGCAGACCCGAAGAAGACGCUGGGAAUUAAACUGCCCUUCCUUGUCAUGAUUAUCAAAAACCUAAAGAAAUAUUUUACCUUUGAAGUACAGGUACUAGAUGACAAGAAUGUGCGUCGGCGGUUUCGGGCAAGUAACUACCAGAGCACUACCCGGGUCAAACCGUUCAUCUGUACCAUGCCCAUGCGGCUGGACGAUGGCUGGAACCAGAUUCAGUUCAACCUGUCAGACUUCACGCGGAGGGCGUAUGGCACAAAUUACAUCGAGACCCUCAGAGUGCAGAUCCAUGCGAACUGUCGCAUCCGACGGGUUUACUUCUCAGACAGACUCUACUCAGAAGACGAACUGCCGGCAGAGUUCAAACUGUAUCUCCCAGUUCAAAACAAGGCAAAGGAAUGAUCCGGUGAAGCGUUUAGUUACUGCCCUCCUCACCUCCACAAGGUGGCCUUGCCUCUCCUGAGGGCACCCUGCUGCUUCCUGCUCGGAGGCCCUGUUUGAAGAAGAUCCUCCAUCUGAACUUCUUUACCCCAAGCACCAGUCCCCUGUAACACGUGGCGGUGCUGCCACGCCUGCCUGCUGAUGUUUGUGCAUUCCCCCAGCCCAGCAAUAACUGGAAUGCAACCCGAGGGAUAGACCCUGGCCACGACUCUUCAUUUAAAAAGGAAACUAUCUGGAGGACAAUGCAGAAAACAGAAAUAUUUAUAUUAGUUCACUGUGCUGUGGUUCUUUUAUCUUCUACUUUGUGUCCGUUGUCAUGGACCCCAGUGACCCUGCCAGGACUCCAUAAUUGCCUUGUAAGUACAGUGGGGGAUAAGCCGUCCUUUGAGUGACACAUGAAUGCUGGCAUUUCUCCUGCUGCGUGCCCCAGGGACUGGGGAAAUGCAUCCACCAAGAACUUACAGAAUUAAAGAUGUCCCAUUAGACAGUUUCAGACCAAUCUGUCUUUCUAUGGUGUGUUCUUUCUUUUCUAUAUUAUCUAAUACGUGUAUUAUAUGCUGUGUAAUACUCAUAAUCUGGAGAUGAAUAAAAUGUUAUAUCCUUGGUUUGUAAAUUUGUUCCUGUUGUGUGUCUUUUUCAAUGGUGACAUUUCUCCUUCCUUCAUGUUAUGAAAAUGGAACUAUCUCCAAAGGACAUCCCGUAGAUUCGUGCUGCGGGAUAAUUCGUGAUGAGCAUUUAAAGAGCCAGACACAUACACGUAGAUACUGAUUUGGAACAACUUCCAAGAUAAGCUAAGUGGAAGAAAUGUGAACAGUGUGUGACCAGUAGAAUCAGCUUCCUAGGGAUUAGGUCCUAAAUUGAGUUUAAGACAAAAAUGGCAGAUCCAAAUUGCCCUUAAACACCUUAAGAAAAUCAAACCCACUGCCUUCAAGUUGAUUCUCACUCAUAGUAACCCCAUAGGGUUUCCAAAGCUGUAGAUCUCUGCAGAGAUGUACCUUAGGCAGGUGCCAUAUGGAGGCCCACACGUCCUUGUAAUAAUCAGCACAUCUAGGGUCCCCCUACCUUAGGGUCGCUAUGAGUCGGGAUCGACUUGAUGGCAGCGGGUUCGGUUUUUUUGGUUCCCAGCUUUGGAACAGACCACCAUUGCCUUACGAAAGUACUCCAGAUGAAGCACUUGCCUUGAGUUUAGGGACUUAGGAAAAAAAUGUUUCUUUAAACCCUAGAAUAACAUGAGGGAGCCGAAACUUUACAUCGCUUUUUCCAUUCACGUUUGUUUACUCUGGGGCACGUGCUUGUUUGGUGGAAUGAUCCUGGCACCUUUUUUUUUGCCAAGCACAAAUCGUUAAAUUUGUAAAAGUUAAACACUUGGCGUGAUACAGCUGUAUUGUAUGUAACAUUUCUGGAGGGAAAGCAAUUUGGGGGCAGAGAAGAGAAUAUGUGGGUGUACCGAGAUGAUCUUGAAGGACACACAACUGGCACAGUGACUACAUCUGGGGAGAAUGGUUUUGUAUCACUCUGUGCUUCUUUUGUACUAUAAAGAGAAUAUUUUUGGAAAGGUGAAAUUCAUGUAGUAAAAAAUUUCAAAGUCAAAAAAGAAAAAAGGCGACUUCAGAUACUCUGGAUUUUGUUUCUUUCCUACAGAGAUGAGACUGGAAUUGGGGCACCAGCCAUUUUGACUUUGGUAAGAAGUAAAAGCAAGUAGACAUGGCGUUACCAUUGCUGUCUUCUGAGAAGUAAAGUAACGUGGCUCAGAAGCACUCUCCUCUAGCACCCUUCUCCAAACCUCUGAGGAAGGCAGGAACCACAGGGCGGUGUAGGGGUGGAGGGAGCGGGGCUACCUUACAUGACCAUCACGGAACGGACAUUUCUCCUUACAGUUGCCUAGUGCCUGACACUUAGGUGGGCUGACAAGGCGAGUUCCCCCUUUCUUUGAGUGCUACCAGACUGGAACGGCCUUUCCCACAGAUACUGUCCCUGUCCUUUGAGAGUCACCAGUUGUUCCCACGCCACAGAGCUGCUUUUGUCCACUUCCCAUCAGCCCAGUUGACAGAGCCUGCUCUUUCAGGGCCAGACCCAGUCAAAUGUGAAUGUUGUCCCACUUCCCCAUCCUGAAACAGUGGCUGUCAGGUUCUUAGGCUCCAUGUGCCUGUCCCUCGCAUGCUGGGUGACAGCGGGACUCCUCAGAAAUGGUUGGGGUGGGGGUGGUCAGCGACUUCAGCAGAGCUGCUGUCUUUGGCCGCUCUAGAGUGAAAUCUUUCCUCCGAUCCAUAGUCUAUUGUGGAUGAAAGAUGCUUUUGUGGAGGCGAGAAAACUGGUUAACUUUUCACCUCGCUUCAGUGCCAGGCCAUCAGUGAAGAGCCCCUGGAAGUCCAGAGAAACACAGUAAUGCACUCUCCUCCACACAGAGCGCCUUUCACCCCAAGGCACUCAGACUAUGUAUGGCGAUUACCUCACCACCUUCUCUGGGGUGGAAGGUGGCAGCUGUUGGCUUCCCAGAUGCUUUACAUAUCCACCCAAGAGGAAGUGAGGGGGCGUGAGGGUGAUGGGAUGUAUUUAUCUAAGCUGGAUCCAGGCCAGUGUGGAUUGUGGCACUAAUGACUCCAUGGCCCUUGCCCUCAGCUUUCUAGCUCUCCAGGAAGAUGACAACUAGUGAGGCUAAAGGAAGGAGGAAGGAAAGAACAGACUGCUGGUGCUCGAGGCCUCCCUGAUAAAAAAGAGUUUGAGCCAGGGUGACCUGGCAUCAUGGUGAUUGGCUCAGGCAGAGUUCUGCUAUCCUGCUCCUUGAAAGUCAUAGAGUGUGUUUUAGAAGGAAUUGCCUUCCCAAUGAGCGGAUGAUUGGCGUGCCACCAUUCCCAACAGGGCUCAAUGUGGGGAGAGCAGAUCCACUACUGCCCUUACUUGCCAUCGGUCCAUGUUAUGGAUUGACUUGUGUCCCCCCCAAAAUAUGUGUUGUAAAUCCUAACCUCUCUGCCUGUGGUUAUAAACCUAUUUGGGAAUGGGCUGCCUUUGUUAUGUUAAUGAGACAGAAUUAGUGUAGCCCACCCAGUCCCAGUGCUGUCGUUGUGUGUGUCUUAAAUCAAUCUCUUUUGAGAUAUAGAAGAGAGAAAACAAGCAAGUGAAAGAAGCAGAAGUGGGGGAAGAGAGAUGCCAAACUAAGAUGGCCCAGGAGCAGAAGUUCAAAGAGACAAGUACAUUCCUACAGAGCCAACAGAGACAGAAAGCCUUCCUCUAGAGCUGGCACUCUGAAUUCAGACUUCUAGCCUUCUAAACUGUGAGAAAAUAAAUUUCUGUUUGUUAAAGCCAUCCACUUGUGGUAUUUCUGUUAUAGCAGCACAGAUCGCUAAGAUAGCCCAUUAACUGCAAUGAAAAGGAACAAAUUAACAGGUGCAACAACAUAGAGGAAUCUUCCAAUCAAAUGUACAGUGAAAAAAUAAGACACAGCAUAUUAAAUAUGAUUACAUUGAUAUAAAAGUUUAAAACGAGAAAAAACACACUGUUCUAGGACACAUUCGUAAAUGGUGACAUACGGUGGCACAUAUGGGUCUGAGUAUCUCAAAACCCAGGAGGCUGCUUUACCUAGUGGUGGAGGUGGGACUGGGAAGUGAUGGUGGAGACACUUAGGGGGCUUCCAAGUACCAGCAGUGCUCUGUCUUAACCUGGGUGGUGUUGACACAUGGAUGUUUGCUUCAUUAUUAUUAUUUAAAUUACAAACACAUAAUAUACUCUUCUGAUAACAUUUCCCAAUUUUAGAAAAGAUCCAAUUCAGAUUCCUUAAUCCUGGCUAUUAAAAUACAGAUUCCUGGGGCCCAGCUUGUGAAAAUGCAGAUGAAUGCCGCCCCACUCCUAGAGAUUAACUCUCAGGAGGUCUAAAGGGGGCCCAGAAAUCUGCAUGGCAGCACCUUCCUUCUUCCUGGUGAUUUGUGGCGAUUAUGACAUUUCAGAAGCUGCUCCAAGUAGGGUGAGCAAGUUGAGGUGAUACCUCUGAAUGUAAAGAGGCAGAUGCUGGGAGGAAGAAACAACCCUGGCUUCCCCCUAAAACCUGAAAUUCCCUUUAUAGAAUUCUAGUAUGUAACUUGCCUCUCUACACCUUUCCCUUAACCAGAAAAUGAAAGGUCCUGUACAGAGAACCGCGAGGGCCUCCAGGCUGUGAUGGAGGCAUUCAAAUUUGUAAACCUGCAAGGCAUGGAACAUCUGGAUGGAGCCUGAGCCUUGGAAAAAGUGUGCUUUUUGGUAUCCAUGGUGUCUGAAGCAAAGCAAAACACAGUGUGCAGGGGGUGGGAUAUGGCAACGCACUGGACAGUACCCCUGUUUAAGGACGUAAAAGUCUCCGAGUGCCUUCUCUUGUUUUAUUGCAGGAGCUCAGCUGCUAACCCGCCCAGUGGCUCUAUAGGAGAAAGACCUGGCGAUCUGCUCACCUAAAGAUUACAACCUAGAAAGCCCUCUGGGGCAGUUCUACCCUGUCACACGGGGUUGCUAUGAAUCAAAAAUCAACUCAAUAGCACCCAACGAGAGUAUCUAUCAGUAAGGGUUUUUGUGAGUUCUCUCGCCACUUGGGUUCCCCCCAACUCCUUUGCUUCCACUAAGUCUUAAACUGUGGAUCCUCUGCCAUGUAACCCUGGUAUUUGGUAAGGGAUACAAUUAAAUCAGCCCAUGCACACCCUAGCUUUUGGGUCCCAAGUCAUCCUCCAAAGCCCCCCUCCCAGACAGCUGUUGAACUGUUCACUUAAACCGGAAAGCAUCCUUCCAAGCCUGAGAUGACUUUUCUCAGUAUGGACAACUUGACCUAAGCCAACACAUCAGGUUCUUGGGGAAUAUCAGAGCCCACGACCACCAGAGGUAAGGAAAAGCCAUAGUUCUCUCUGAGCUGGCUACCAGGUGGUGUGCUACAAUAAAGGCCAAUCUCAGGCAAGGUCAAAAUGUAUUUGUCAACGUGCAAAAUAAGAUUCAUGCCACCUGUUCCUAAAGCUCAGUGAAGUGCCUGUUGUCUCUCUUUUCAUGGACUUCCAUGGCAAUGUGAGGAUGUGUGGAUGGUAAGAUCGGACUGAGAGGCGGAAUCAGGUGGGAAUCCUUUAAGUGAGUGUGAAUGGGAAGGAUGCCAUACAGACCCUAUAGGAGUUCAAGAAUAAUAAGAUGUCCCAGAGGUGUUACAUGGCUGGGCUCACCAAACUUUUUUUUAUUGUGCUCUAAGUGAAUGUUUACAAAUCAAGUCAGUCUCUCAUACAAAAAGUUAUACACACCAUGCUAUGUACUCCUAGCUGCUCUCUUCCUAAUGAGACGGCACUUCCUUCUUUCCUCCCUGUAUUCCCUGUGUCCAUUCCACCAGCUCCUGUCCCCCUCUGCCUUCUCAUAUCACCACCAGACAGGAGCUGCCCAUGUAGUCCCAUGUGUCCACUUGAGCCAAGAAGCUCACUCCUCACCAGUAUCAUCUUACACUCCAGUCCAAUCCCUCUCUGAAGAGUUGGCAUUGGGAAUGGGUCCAGUCUUGGGUUAACAAAGGGUCCAGGGACCAUGACCUCCAGGGUCCCCCUAGUCUCAGGCAGACCAUUAAGUCUGGUCUUUUUACAAGAAUUUGAGAUCUGCAUCCCACUGUCCUCCUGCUCCUUUGGGGAUUCUCUGUUGUGUUCCCUGCCAGGGCAGUGAUCAGUGGUAGCUGGGUACCAUCUAGUUCUCGCCAAAUUCUUACACUGCAUUUAAAUGGGGGCAGAGGUACCUAAGCAAUGUUUCUGGCCAGGUAUUUCUGACCUUCCUCGUAGUAAUUAUUAGGGAGUAGAGAUUCUUUUUUUGUUUUUUUUUAGAGAUUCACUUCCAGAUGGUGUGAUUGCUUUGGUCACCAUGCUGGGGAAAGGUAGGGAGGAGAGGUGCUUGACACCCAAAGCUUCUUGCCUACCAUCCCUAAACCAAAACCAAACCGCACGUACUGCCGUCAAGUCGAUUCCGACUCACAGCAACACUAUAGGACAGGGUAGAACUGCCCCAUAGGGUUUCCAAGGCUGUAAUCUUUAUGGAAGCAGACUGCCACAUCUUUCUCCCUGGGAGUGGUUGGUGGGUUUGAAUCACCAACCUUUUGCUUAGCAGCCAAGUGGUUUAACCACUUCACCACCAGGGCUCCUCUACCACCCGUACACCUCGCAACCCCAAAUAAGAGAAAAACUGGAGCAGCUGAGCCCCAGAUGAGCCCGUGGCCUUUCCCUGUGGUUGCAGGCGUCAGAUUUGUUCUACUGCACCCUCCCUGCCGAGGAGGCUGUUGAGGCCUGGAGGGUGUUCUAGGCACCACUCACAUCCCAGGAGUCAAACUCACCUGGUGUGGGGACCUCUGGUGGCUACAGGCUUCCCUCCCAUGAAGGCUCCUUAUGCCUCAGAGCACCCAGAUUUCCUGCCAGGCUAGUGGCAAUUUUUUUAAGGUUUUUAAGUUUGUGGCUGUUAAUAAAUGAAGCAGAUUUUAAAUAUGCAGCGUCCAAUGUGUUAGCCACUAGCCACGUGUGGCUAUUUACAUUAAAUUGAUUACAGUUAAAUAAAAUUUAAAUUUGUUCUUCAGUCAGACUAGCCGCACUUAGAGUGAUCCAUAGCUGUAAAACGGACAGCGUGGAUAUAGGACAUUUCCACAGAAAUUUCUACUGGACAAUACUGUUUUAAACACUGGCACUGAAUAAAAUAAGGCUUUCGUCAUCACUACCAACAGCAAAAAAGUUCAAUGUAGUGUGGUUAGUUGCCAUUGAGUGCAUUCUGACUCAUGGCAACCCCAUGUGUGCAUAGACCUGCUCCACAAAUCGGCAGACCUGUCUUCCGAGGCGUCUUUGAGUUUGAGCUGCCAACGUUUCAGCUAGUAGUAGAGAGCUUAACCGUUUGCGCCACCCAGAGACUCCUGAAUGUAGUACGUGUCCUUAAUAAACUGUUUCGAGAAGGGCUUCUCAAGCAUUAUUGUGCACAAAUUCUGCUUCCGCAGGCCUGGGGCGAGGCCCUAGAUUGGGCAUUCCUAGUAAGCUCGCAGGAGGUGGCCACACUGCUGGUCCGUGGACCAGAAAUAGGGAGCAAGUUCAAAACUGCGUGACGAGUGAUGAGUGUUAUCUUCUCUCAGUCCUUGCAGGACACCUCCGCCACAGUGUGACCUCAUUUGGGUGUGAAGUCUCAAGUCUGAGUUUCAGGCCUGGAGUGCUAUGCUUGUUGUUGUUGUUAGUUGCCGUCGAGUUAAUUCUGACACCACGUGUGCAGAGUAGAACUGCUCGACAGAGAAGUCGAUUGCCAGGCCUGUCUUCCUAGUUCGCAGAUGGCUCCACCUUGGUUCCUCAGGAAGCAGCAGGUUACCAAAACAUAAGUCACACAGGUCGUGGAAGAAUACCCAGCUCCUCUCUCUUCCCUCUGCCUCCCCCUUCUCCUCAGAGGCCCCCUUAGACAAGGGAGGGAAAGGAUACAUUAAUGCAGAAUCAGGAGGAAGCCAGUAGUAUUUAUUAAUUUAUAUCUCAUCUCAGUUUUAAAAAGGACACGAGGAGGUUUACCAAAAAUAUAGAGAGAGUAAGAUUUUCUUGGAGUCUGUGUGUGAGGCAAAUAGUCAAUGCACUUCCUUGGCUGCUGACUGAAAGACUGGGGGUUUGAAUCCACCCAGAGCUGCCUCAGAAGAAAGGCCCUGUGAUCUGCUUCCAAAAAAUCAGCCGCUGAAAGCCUUAUGGAGCACGUGACACACGUGGGGU